GCGGACGGGUGAGUAACACGUGGGUAACCUACCUAUAAGACUGGGAUAACUUCGGGAAACCGGAGCUAAUACCGGAUAACAUUUAGAACCGCAUGGUUCUAAAGUGAAAGAUGGUUUUGCUAUCACUUAUAGAUGGACCCGCGCCGUAUUAGCUAGUUGGUAAGGUAACGGCUUACCAAGGCGACGAUACGUAGCCGACCUGAGAGGGUGAUCGGCCACACUGGAACUGAGACACGGUCCAGACUCCUACGGGAGGCAGCAGUAGGGAAUCUUCCGCAAUGGGCGAAAGCCUGACGGAGCAACGCCGCGUGAGUGAUGAAGGGUUUCGGCUCGUAAAACUCUGUUAUUAGGGAAGAACAAAUGUGUAAGUAACUGUGCACAUCUUGACGGUACCUAAUCAGAAAGCCACGGCUAACUACGUGCCAGCAGCCGCGGUAAUACGUAGGUGGCAAGCGUUAUCCGGAAUUAUUGGGCGUAAAGCGCGCGUAGGCGGUUUCUUAAGUCUGAUGUGAAAGCCCACGGCUCAACCGUGGAGGGUCAUUGGAAACUGGGAAACUUGAGUGCAGAAGAGGAAAGUGGAAUUCCAUGUGUAGCGGUGAAAUGCGCAGAGAUAUGGAGGAACACCAGUGGCGAAGGCGACUUUCUGGUCUGUAACUGACGCUGAUGUGCGAAAGCGUGGGGAUCAAACAGGAUUAGAUACCCUGGUAGUCCACGCCGUAAACGAUGAGUGCUAAGUGUUAGGGGGUUUCCGCCCCUUAGUGCUGCAGCUAACGCAUUAAGCACUCCGCCUGGGGAGUACGACCGCAAGGUUGAAACUCAAAGGAAUUGACGGGGACCCGCACAAGCGGUGGAGCAUGUGGUUUAAUUCGAAGCAACGCGAAGAACCUUACCAAAUCUUGACAUCCUUUGAAAACUCUAGAGAUAGAGCCUUCCCCUUCGGGGGACAAAGUGACAGGUGGUGCAUGGUUGUCGUC
rnacentral:rRNA from 1 species